UACGUAGGGUGCAAGCGUUGUCCGGAAUUAUUGGGCGUAAAGAGCUUGUAGGCGGUUUGUCGCGUCUGCUGUAAAAGUCAAAGGCUCAACCUUUGAAUGCCGGUGGAUACUGUCGGGCUAGAGUCCGGAAGAGGCGAGUGGAAUUCCUGGUGUAGCGGUGGAAUGCGCAGAUAUCAGGAGGAACACCAACGGCGAAGGCAGCUCGCUGGGACGGUACUGACGCUAAGGCGCGAAAGCCAGGGGAGCGAACGGG
rnacentral:rRNA from 1 species